GAGGUAACCAUAUUAGUUCGAGCUAAAAAAAAAGAUCUCUGCAUGCAGCCUGCUUGCUCGAGCACAUUGGUCAACAGCAACAGUUUUUCAAAAUGUACACAACUUCUAAAAGUGGUAGUCUCUCUUCUCCUGAAUUCUUGUUUUACUUUUGUAAGUAAAGCGGCAGUUUGUUGGGAAGACGAAAGUCAAGGAAUCUUCCAGCUUGGAUGGAGGAAACAAAGGGAGGAGUACAGAAUUGAUCUAGCCUGCUGACUAAGAAAUUUCCUGAAACAUGUCAAUGACCUGAUGCAUGGCCUCUACAGCAGUGCUUCGGCACCCACUCAGUUACCAGUGACCUAUUUUGGCACAUCCCAGUGAAAGGAAAGAGCAGAAGCACCCUUCCUUAAAUCUAUAGUCAUUGACAGAAUCUUCUAGCUUGGAAGGAUGGAGGAGUGAACAAAGGGAAGGAGUACUGAAGUUACCCAGCCUGCUGACUAAGAAAUCUCCUGAAACAUGUCAAUGACCUAAUGUAUGGGGUCUACAACAGUUACCAGUGACCUAUUCUGCCACAUCCCAGUGAAAGGAGAGAGCAGAACCACCCCUCCUUAAACCCAUAGUCAUUGACAGUAAGUU